CUUCUCUGCCUCUCUCUCUCUGUUUCUCUCUCUCUCUCUGUUUCUCUCUCUCUGUUUCUCUCUCUCUCUCUGUUUCUCUCUCUCUCUCUGUUUCUCUCUCUCUCUCACUCUCUCUCAUUCUCUCUCUGUCCCACAUGAGAAGACAGUGGGAAGAUAGCCACCUAUGGAGUGGAGGAGUACCCUCACCAAAACUGAUCUCAGAUGAGACUGGAACCCUGAUCUCAAACUGCCAUCAUCCAGAGCUAUGAGAAAUGUUUGCUGUCGAAGUCACCUCGUCUAGGGUAAUGUGUUAUAACAACCCAAGCUGAUGAAGAAAGCCACUGUCUGAUUAGAUGGGUCUCUCCUAAGGAAUUGGUUUCUUGUUAGGUAAUGUACCCUGGUAUCAAGAUUUGGAAAACAGUGUAAAUAUUAAUUCAAAGUAAUUAUUUGAGCUGUGCUGGUAACUAGACCUACUAGAGUAAUUCUGGCUCAAAUAGUUCUUGUGAUAUGCCCUGCUUAUUCUUAUAAGGAUUGAGAAGUUGACUAAAAUUUGUCCAUUAUUUAUUACCAGUGAACUCUGGUAUUUCCUGAGGGUAUUUUCUCAAACCUACUCGUUCCUUCCAGGCCUCUGCCACUUGCUCAAUGUAGUAUCCCAGCUCUCUGUCACUUUCCAUGCCUCACCUCAUGACGCUGCUUGCUAGUUCAGCCUCCCUCCUGGCAUGGGCCAGACAGCAGCAUAUUCUCCUUACCUGCUGUCAUGAAAGCUGUAAUAACUGCAAUGCCCAGUGCAAAGCUACCUAAACCCAG
rnacentral:lncRNA from 1 species